rnacentral:rRNA from 1 species
GUAGCGGCGAGCGAACGGGGAGCAGCCCAGAGCCUGAAUCAGUGUGUGUGUUAGUGGAAGCGUCUGGAAAGGCGCGUGAUACAGGGUGACAGCCCCGUACACAAAAAUGCACAUGCUGUGAGCUCGAUGAGUAGGGCGGGACACGUGGUAUCCUGUCUGAAUAUGGGGGGACCAUCCUCCAAGGCUAAAUACUCCUGACUGACCGAUAGUGAACCAGUACCGUGAGGGAAAGGCGAAAAGAACCCCGGCGAGGGGAGUGAAAAAGAACCUGAAACCGUGUACGUACAAGCAGUGGGAGCACGCUUAGGCGUGUGACUGCGUACCUUUUGUAUAAUGGGUCAGCGACUUAUAUUCUGUAGCAAGGUUAACCGAAUAGGGGAGCCGAAGGGAAACCGAGUCUUAACUGGGCGUUAAGUUGCAGGGUAUAGACCCGAAACCCGGUGAUCUAGCCAUGGGCAGGUUGAAGGUUGGGUAACACUAACUGGAGGACCGAACCGACUAAUGUUGAAAAAUUAGCGGAUGACUUGUGGCUGGGGGUGAAAGGCCAAUCAAACCGGGAGAUAGCUGGUUCUCCCCGAAAGCUAUUUAGGUAGCGCCUCGUGAAUUCAUCUCCGGGGGUAGAGCACUGUUUCGGCAAGGGGGUCAUCCCGACUUACCAACCCGAUGCAAACUGCGAAUACCGGAGAAUGUUAUCACGGGAGACACACGGCGGGUGCUAACGUCCGUCGUGAAGAGGGAAACAACCCAGACCGCCAGCUAAGGUCCCAAAGUCAUGGUUAAGUGGGAAACGAUGUGGGAAGGCCCAGACAGCCAGGAUGUUGGCUUAGAAGCAGCCAUCAUUUAAAGAAAGCGUAAUAGCUCACUGGUCGAGUCGGCCUGCGCGGAAGAUGUAACGGGGCUAAACCAUGCACCGAAGCUGCGGCAGCGACGCUUAUGCGUUGUUGGGUAGGGGAGCGUUCUGUAAGCCUGUGAAGGUGUACUGUGAGGUAUGCUGGAGGUAUCAGAAGUGCGAAUGCUGACAUAAGUAACGAUAAAGCGGGUGAAAAGCCCGCUCGCCGGAAGACCAAGGGUUCCUGUCCAACGUUAAUCGGGGCAGGGUGAGUCGACCCCUAAGGCGAGGCCGAAAGGCGUAGUCGAUGGGAAACAGGUUAAUAUUCCUGUACUUGGUGUUACUGCGAAGGGGGGACGGAGAAGGCUAUGUUGGCCGGGCGACGGUUGUCCCGGUUUAAGCGUGUAGGCUGGUUUUCCAGGCAAAUCCGGAAAAUCAAGGCUGAGGCGUGAUGACGAGGCACUACGGUGCUGAAGCAACAAAUGCCCUGCUUCCAGGAAAAGCCUCUAAGCAUCAGGUAACAUCAAAUCGUACCCCAAACCGACACAGGUGGUCAGGUAGAGAAUACCAAGGCGCUUGAGAGAACUCGGGUGAAGGAACUAGGCAAAAUGGUGCCGUAACUUCGGGAGAAGGCACGCUGAUAUGUAGGUGAAGUCCCUCGCGGAUGGAGCUGAAAUCAGUCGAAGAUACCAGCUGGCUGCAACUGUUUAUUAAAAACACAGCACUGUGCAAACACGAAAGUGGACGUAUACGGUGUGACGCCUGCCCGGUGC